CAAUGAGACGAGACAAACACCUUUAACUGCCGAAGGUUCCCAAAGGAGAGUAAGGCAUGCUAAGGAUGUCUUUGACUAAAUGCGGCCAAAAUUGAGCAUUUUGCAAUUUUUCAGCUUGCUACUUAAACUGAGAUCAACACUGUGACCUUGAGAAAGCCAGAGUUUGCAGAUGUCUCCCCCUAUGUCCAGACAAGGGAUACAGCAUUGAAAACCAAUCAGAUCUGGCUUCCUUAGAAUUGGCCGAGGAAAAGAAAUCCAGAGGACAGUCAACAGUCCCCUCAUGAGUGUUGUCCGAAGACUUGCUCGGUAAAUACUGGAGAGAAUCAGACCAAGCUCAGUUGAGAUCUAUCUGAUCAUGAGAAAGGCCUACUGACAUCACCUCAAAUGGAAAAACCAACCACUUGUGAGCUGCCAGAGGAACUAGUGGAGGUGGCUACACUGCAACAUUUAAAAUGCAUCUGGAUGGGUACAUGAAUAGGAUGGGUUUACAGGGAUUUGGGCCAAAUGCUGACAAAUGGGACUAGAUUAAUUUAGGAUAUCCGGUUGGCAUAGACUGAAGGGUCUGUUUCUGUGCCAUACAACGCUAUGGUCGUGGUGGAGGGUUCAUUUUUGCACUGGAGACCUGUGACCAAUGGUGUUCCACAAGGAUCGGUGCUGGGACCACUGCAUUUUUGUCACUUAUGGAAAUUAUUUUGAUGUGACAAUGGGAAGUAUGAUCAAUAAGUUUGCAGAUGACACCAACAUUGGUGGUGUAGCAGACAGCAAAGAAGGUUACCUGUGAAUACAACAGGAGCUUGAUCAGAUGGGCAAAUGGGUUGAGAAGUACCCUAUAGAGUUUAGGUAAAUGUGAGGUGCUGCAUUCUGUUAGGGAAAAUCAGGGCACGACUUAUACACUUAAUGGGAAGGUCCUGGGGAGUGUUGCUGAACAAAGAGACCAUGGGGUGCAGGUUCAUAGUUUCCUGAAAUUGGAGUUGCCAGUAGAUAGGAUAGUGAAGAAGGCGUUUGGUACGCUUAUCUUUAUUGGUCAGUGCAGUGAGUAUAGGAGUUGCAAGGCCAUGUAACUGCUAUGCAAGACAUUGAUUAGACCACUUUUUUUAGUCUCCCUACUAUAGGAAAGGUGUUGUGAAACUUGAAAGGCUUUAGAAAAGAUGUAUAAGGAUGUUGCCAGGGUUGGAGGGUUUGAGCCAUAGGAAGAGGCUGAAUAGGCCAGGGCUAUUUUCCCUGAGCAUUGGAGGCUGAGGGGUGACCUGAUAGAUGUUUAUUAAUCAUGAGGGGCAUAGAUAGGGUGAAUAGCCAAGGUCUUUUCCCUGUGGUGGGGGAGUCCAAAACUAGAAGGCAUAGUUUAAGGUGAGAGGAGCAAGAUUUAAAAGGGAUGUAAGGGGCAACAUUUUCACGCAGAGGGUAGUGCAUUUAUGGAACGAGCUGCCGGAGGAACUGGUGGAGACUGGUACAAUAACAGCAUUUAAAAGGCAUCUGAAUGGCUAAAUGAUUCAGAAGUGUUUAGAGGGAUAUGGGCCAAAUACUGACAAAUAGGACUCGGUUUAUUUUGGAUAACUGGUUGGCGUGGACAAGUUGGACCGAAGGGUCUGUUUCUGUGCUAUAUGUUCCUUUGACUCUCAAUACCAAAUUCUGUCAGCGCCUAUGAAACCAUGUGAUUGU